AGCGUAGACGGCAAGGCAAGUCUGAUGUGAAAACCCAGGGCUUAACCCUGGGACUGCAUUGGAAACUGUCUGGCUCGAGUGCCGGAGAGGUAAGCGGAAUUCCUAGUGUAGCGGUGAAAUGCGUAGAUAUUAGGAAGAACACCAGUGGCGAAGGCGGCUGUCUGGUCUGUAACUGACGCUGAGGCUCGAAAGCAUGGGUAGCGAACA
rnacentral:rRNA from 1 species